GACGAACGCUGGCGGCGUGCUUAACACAUGCAAGUCGAACGGAAAGGCCCUGCUUUUGUGGGGUGCUCGAGUGGCGAACGGGUGAGUAACACGUGAGUAACCUGCCCUUGACUUUGGGAUAACUUCAGGAAACUGGGGCUAAUACCGGAUAGGAUCUCCUGCUGCAUGGUGGGGGUUGGAAAGUUUCGGCGGUUGGGGAUGGACUCGCGGCUUAUCAGCUUGUUGGUGGGGUAGUGGCUUACCAAGGCUUUGACGGGUAGCCGGCCUGAGAGGGUGACAGGCCACAUUGGGACUGAGAUACGGCCCAGACUCCUACGGGAGGCAGCAGGGGGGAAUAUUGCACAAUGGGCGGAAGCCUGAUGCAGCAACGCCGCGUGCGGGAUGACGGCCUUCGGGUUGUAAACAGAUUUCGACUGUGACGAAGAGUGAGUGACGGUAAUGGGUAAAGAAGCACCGGCUAACUACGUG
rnacentral:rRNA from 1 species